rnacentral:rRNA from 1 species
GACGAACGCUGGCGGCGUGCUUAACACAUGCAAGUCGAACGGAAAGGCCCUGCUCUUGCGUGUUUCUUGAUAGCCGAACGCGUGUGUAACACGUGUGUAACCUGCCCCUAUCUUUGGGAUAACUUCAGGAAACUCGGGCUCUUAUCGCAUAGGAUCUUCUGCAGCACGGGGGUGAUUGGAAAGUUUCGGCGGUAGUGGAUGGACUCGCGGCUUAUCAGCUUGUUGGGGGGGUAGUUGCUUUCCAAGGUUUUGAAGGCUAGGCGGCAUAAGAGGUGGGACGGCCACAUUGGGACUGAGGGACGGCGCAGACGCGUAUGGGAGGCAGUAGUCGGGAAUAUGGCACAAUGGGCGGAAGCGUGAUGCGGCAGCGCCGCGUGCGUGAUGCCGGCCUUUGGGGUGUAAACCGAUUUCGCCUGAGACGAAGCGUGAGUGACGGUAAUGGGUAAGGAAGCACCGGCUAACUACGUG